rnacentral:lncRNA from 10 species
GUAACAGCCAAUGCCCUUUAAAUGGGCUACUUAACUGAAGGCUAAGAAAAUGAUACUUAUUACUUAAUGACAUUUACUCUGAGCCCAAGAUUUCCCUAUAAUUACCUCAGUUAAAUAGAAAUGAGAAAAAAAGGCACUCCAACUAAAUGGGGGACCAGGCUGAAGCUCUGAGAAAGUAAAUUGUUUGCCUAUGGUCAGACAGCCAGUAAAGAGGCUCGAACCCAGGAGUGACACAUUCUCAAGUAGUAUUAGACUCCACUGAGUCCCAGAGAGGAAUCUCAGCACAGGCUGGCUCAGAAAUGAAAGAGGGGAGUUUGUUGCCGCUGUGGUCUGUAACAGAAGCUUGCACAUGAAAUAAGAGAGGCCACAAAAAGAUGUGUGCCCAUGCCUGACAGAUGAGCCAAGAAUGCGUAUAUCCUUUCAGAGACGUCUAUGCAUUUGCUUUUACACACUCUACAUACCUUCUUGAAAUUUCCUUUUUUACAUAGAAAUAUGAAACAACAAUAAUAAUAGCUUAAGAUCACACAUCAUAGAAAUUAUUUUAAGUUUCUACAUAUAUAUCUAUCUACCUUAUUCUUUUUAAUAGCUACAUAGUAUUCCAUUGAAUGGCUCUAACAUGAUUUAUUUAACCAGCCCCUUGUCAUGGACAUUUAAGUAUUUAUAGUUUUUAGCAAGUAAAAAUUAGACUGCAAUAAAUGC